rnacentral:lncRNA from 1 species
ACAAAACAAGAAGGAAAAGCAUCAAAUGGUAAGCACAAACUCUUGCAUUGAACCCAUAUUUUCUGUGAUGGAAACAAGCACCUCUCCUUAAAUGCUUGUAUGGGUGGGUGCAUGUAAGGGUCAAAAAGCCAAAAGCCUAUAGAUGUCAACCAAUCAAAGGAAAUACAGAGGGCUGCCAGUGCCACCAGGGAGGCAAAAAAGACAUAUAAAAUUGUAAAAAGGGCUCCAAGUGAAUCGACUCCUGCUUUGUUCUUCACAUGACGGUCAUGUGCCCCCAACAGCUUUUUUGGGGAGAAGUCAUAUUCUUUCAUUAAGCCAUGCCUGACUACUUGCCAGGGGAAAACAUGAAUCCUUGUAGCUAACCAGUUUCAAUUAAUUUGUAUGAAUUUUUUUUUACUCAUUUCAAUAUGCACGUGUCCCUUUCAGCAAUGGCAACUAAAGGGUGCAAUCUAAUCUUGGUUUUCUAAAGAUCUGUUGCUUAAUUUAUAUACGUACAAUAUGGAUCCAACAGUGGAGGAUUGGCUGCCGAAGGGGUGCUGUCAAUGUUUCGGGCUGUCCUGUCAUCGUCGUCAACGUAGUGGCUGCAUGCAAAACAUAGGGCUAAACUAUUGCUUUUAAUUUUCACCAUCGUAGUCGUCCCUGCUCGUGGUCUCCACUCCCCACUAGUAAAGGCAAAAGGAGAUGCUAACAAGGGGAAAAGGAAAUUUGUUUGAAUAGAUACUAGCACUAUGACAGCUUUUAAGGACAAAUUUUUGCUGUGGCUUUUCAAUCCUAAAGUGGUCAGGCCAAAACAUAAAUUCUAGAUGAAACAAACCAUGAGAUGUGGUGCUUUCUUUUCCAUUAUAUAUAUCUUGUCGAUGGAGAACAUAAAGUAAUGCUAGUAUAUUGUUUCAUGACAUUCAUUUCCUAUUAUUACUCUAUGAUUUUCUCAGCUAAUCAGAUGUUUGGCUGGGAGGAAAAUUAUACAUGACAUGGUUUCCUAAGGAGAAUUAAUAGAAAAGAGGAGAAGGAAGAAAAAAAAGUUAUAAUCUCAAGGUUUAGUUUGAUUCAAAAGAAAUGAAACGAAAGUAAGCAUCCGAAUUAAUUAUAUUUAUGCAUACAGACAGGAAAUUAAGGAGUCCUCCCAAAACUAACUCACCAUUAUUCAGCCCUUUUGUAAUCUAAACAAUAUUCUGUUGGAAUUGGACCACACAAGGAUGGCAACAGUACUCAACCUCAAAGCUGACCGUUUAUAAAUGAUUAGAUUGAAAAUUUUGAGCAAGUUGAUUGACAAUACAAAAUUUUGGCAUCUUUAUUUGACUUGCAUGAUGUUGAAAUCCACCCAAAAAG